UAGAUUGAACGCUGGCGGCGUGCCUAACACAUGCAAGUCGAGCGGCAGCGCGGGGGCAACCCUGGCGGCGAGCGGCGAACGGGUGCGUAAUACAUGGGAAUCUGCCCAGUAGUGGGGAAUAACCCGGGGAAACCCGGGCUAAUGCCGCAUACGACCUACGGGUGAAAGCGGGGGACCUUCGGGCCUCGCGCUAUUGGAUGAGCCCAUGUCGGAUUAGCUAGUUGGUAGGGUAACGGCCUACCAAGGCGACGAUCCGUAGCUGGUCUGAGGGGACGGCCAGCCACACUGGGACUGAGACACGGCCCAGACUCCUACGGGAGGCAGCAGUGGGGAAUUUUGGACAAUGGGGGCAACCCUGAUCCAGCGACGCCGCGUGUGUGAAGAAGGCCUGCGGGUUGUAAAGCACUUUCGUUGGGAACGAAAUAUGCCGGUCUAAUACACCGGCAGGCUGACGUACCCAAACAAGAAGACCGG
rnacentral:rRNA from 1 species